rnacentral:rRNA from 1 species
ACGGGAGGCAGCAGUGGGGAAUAUUGCACAAUGGGGGAAACCCUGAUGCAGCGACGCCGCGGGAGUGAAGAAGUAUCUCGGUAUGUAAAGCUCUAUCAGCAGGGAAGAAAAUGACGGUACCUGACUAAGAAGCCCCGGCUAACUACGUGCCAGCAGCCGCGGUAAUACGCAGGGGGCAAGCGUUAUCCGGAUUUACUGGGUGUAAAGGGAGCGUAGACGGCGAUGCAAGUCUGAAGUGAAAGGCGGGGGCUCAACCCUUGGACUGCUUUGGAAACUGUAUUGCUAGAGUGCAGGAGAGGUAAGUGGAAUUCCUAGUGUAGCGGUGAAAUGCGUAGAUAUUAGGAGGAACACCAGUGGCGAAGGCGGCUUACUGGACUGUAACUGACGUUGAGGCUCGAAAGCGUGGGGAGCAAACAGGAUUAGAUACCCUGGUA